AUUAUUAUUAUUAUUUUUAUUAUUAUUACUAUUAUUAGUGAAAAACCCGAGACAAACAGUCGAGAUGGUGUCUUAUAAGCGACUGAGCCCAGAGGAUGUCCAGUUCACCAACGCUGCUGCUUCAGAGGAGGCUCCUGUACGGGAGGAGGGGAAGGACCCAGAGGAGACAGAGCGCCCCCUGCUGCCUCGGGAGGCCCUCCUGUUC